GGAGAGUUGGCAGAGUGGUCGAAUGCGGCGGUCUUGAAAACCGUUAACUGUCACAGGUUCGGGGGUUCGAAUCCCUCACUCUCCGCCA
rnacentral:tRNA from 18 species